UCACCCCUCAAGCCCCUGGCUUGGUGUUGGAUGGCUUGGUUCGGCUCUGCCGGACCCCUCCGAAAGACAAUGACGGCGGCCCGUGGGACCCCCGGUACACUGAGCUUCUUAACUGAGCACGUAUCGGAUUGAGGGUACCCCGGCCCCGGUCUACUCCCCUUUUAGGGGGAAUCAUAUAUCAA
rnacentral:misc_RNA from 1 species